GGAGGGGCUUGGGCUCCACCCUCGGCGCUGGGGCUGGGACGCCUCUUGGAGCUGGCAGGGGCAGCAGAGGGCAAGGGCAGAGCCUCAGGUCCCUCCUGCCCGCACGCACAGCGGGACAUGGUCCUCCUUCUCCUGGCAGCGCUGCUGGCACUGGCAGCGUCGGGUGGUGCCCAAAAGGACUCUGUGCUCCAGUUCCCAGCAGAGAUGACCAUCCAGGCAGGACACAGCGCAACUCUGCACUGCAAUUUCUCAGCUAGCUAUGCAAAUUUCUUCAUUCUCUGGUACCAGCAGCACCAGUCCCCAGUCCCCUCAGAUGCUGCUGCAGGUGGCCAAAUGGAAACGUCGUGUGGAUUCGGGGAGGUUCUCCUCUGUGCUGUCUGCAGGGGACACACAGGUGUUUCUGCAGGUGCAGGAUGCAGAGCUCCAGGACAGCGCUGCCUAUUUCUGUGCACUGAGCCCACCCUGGUGCCCAGAGCGUGCAGUGCUGCACAAUAACCAAGUGCUCCCAUGGACGCCCUUCACUGUCUGUGUGCAGGAAGAAGAGCUUUGA